CGGCAGGCCUAACACAUGCAAGUCGAGCGGUAGCACAGAGAGCUUGCUCUCGGGUGACGAGCGGCGGACGGGUGAGUAAUGUCUGGGAAACUGCCUGAUGGAGGGGGAUAACUACUGGAAACGGUAGUUAAUACCGCAUAACGUCGCAAGACCAAAGUGGGGGACCUUCGGGCCUCAUGCCAUCAGAUGUGCCCAGAUGGGAUUAGCUAGUAGGUGGGGUAAUGGCUCACCUAGGCGACGAUCCCUAGCUGGUCUGAGAGGAUGACCAGCCACACUGGAACUGAGACACGGUCCAGACUCCUACGGGAGGCAGCAGUGGGGAAUAUUGCACAAUGGGCGCAAGCCUGAUGCAGCCAUGCCGCGUGUAUGAAGAAGGCCUUCGGGUUGUAAAGUACUUUCAGCGAGGAGGAAGGCAUUAAGGUUAAUAACCUUGGCGAUUGACGUUACUCGCAGAAGAAGCACCGGCUAACUCCGUGCCAGCAGCCGCGGUAAUACGGAGGGUGCAAGCGUUAAUCGGAAUUACUGGGCGUAAAGCGCACGCAGGCGGUCUGUCAAGUCGGAUGUGAAAUCCCCGGGCUCGGCCUGGGAACUGCAUUCGAAACUGGCAGGCUAGAGUCUUGUAGAGGGGGGUAGAAUUCCAGGUGUAGCGGUGAAAUGCGUAGAGAUCUGGAGGAAUACCGGUGGCGAAGGCGGCCCCCUGGACAAAGACUGACGCUCAGGUGCGAAAGCGUGGGGAGCAAACAGGAUUAGAUACCCUGGUAGUCCACGCCGUAAACGAUGUCGACUUGGAGGUUGUGCCCUUGAGGCGUGGCUUCCGGAGCUAACGCGUUAAGUCGACCGCCUGGGGAGUACGGCCGCAAGGUUAAAACUCAAAUGAAUUGACGGGGGCCCGCACAAGCGGUGGAGCAUGUGGUUUAAUUCGAUGCAACGCGAAGAACCUUACCUACUCUUGACAUCCAGAGAACUUAGCAGAGAUGCUUUGGUGCCUUCGGGAACUCUGAGACAGGUGCUGCAUGGCUGUCGUCAGCUCGUGUUGUGAAAUGUUGGGUUAAGUCCCGCAACGAGCGCAACCCUUAUCCUUUGUUGCCAGCGAUCCGGUCGGGAACUCAAAGGAGACUGCCAGUGAUAAACUGGAGGAAGGUGGGGAUGACGUCAAGUCAUCAUGGCCCUUACGAGUAGGGCUACACACGUGCUACAAUGGCAUAUACAAAGAGAAGCGACCUCGCGAGAGCAAGCGGACCUCAUAAAGUAUGUCGUAGUCCGGAUUGGAGUCUGCAACUCGACUCCAUGAAGUCGGAAUCGCUAGUAAUCGUAGAUCAGAAUGCUACGGUGAAUACGUUCCCGGGCCUUGUACACACCGCCCGUCACACCAUGGGAGUGGGUUGCAAAAGAAGUAGGUAGCUUAACCUUCGGGAGGGCGCUUACCACUUUGUGAUUCAUGACUGGGGUGAAGUCGUAACAAG
rnacentral:rRNA from 1 species